rnacentral:rRNA from 1 species
ACGGGAGGCAGCAGUGGGGAAUAUUGGGCAAUGGGCGAAAGCCUGACCCAGCGACGCCGCGUGAGGGAAGAAGGUCUUCGGAUUGUAAACCUUAAUAGCAGGGAAGAAGCAAGUGACGGUACCUGUGGAGAAGCCACGGCUAACUACGUGCCAGCAGCCGCGGUAAUACGUAGGUGGCGAGCGUUAUCCGGAUUUACUGGGUGUAAAGGGUGUGUAGGCGGGAUAGCAAGUCAGAUGUGAAAUGAAUGGGCUCAACCCAUUAACUGCAUUUGAAACUGCAAUUCUUGAGUGUCGGAGGGGUAAAUGGAAUUCCCGGUGUAGCGGUGAAAUGCUUAGAUAUCGGGAGGAACAUCUGUGGCGAAGGCGAUUUACUGGACGACAACUGACGCUGAAACACGAAAGCGUGGGGAGCAAACAGGAUUAGAUACCCUGGUA